GUAGUUUUAGGAAAGAUAGGUAUUAACCCCCCCCCUCACACACACACACACCUUUUUUUUUUUCUUUUUCAGACCUAGAUCAGUAGUUUUGGUUCAGAUCAAUCCAUAUGCAAGACCAUUACACCACAAGUUGUUAAUUAGGCCUGUUUGUCUUAAUCUUAAUCUGGUCCUCAUCUGAUUUGUUUGUUUACACCUUCACAAACAAGUGAAACCAGUCCUCUUCCUCACUGCUACUGGACUCUCCAAACAGUUGUUCAUGUCCAGCAAUUUUGUUUGUUGUGGUGACCCCCUGUUUGCUAAGGGUCAUGCUGAUAAGAGUGGGAAUGUCACUGAAACCCACAAGAAGAGUGCACUUCUCAUCAUCCACAACAGAUACACACUGAAUUCUGGAAUCUGGAGUGAAGAUGGACAACACUGUCCCAGCAUCAAGUCAACCUCAUGAGGCAGCCACCUGGAAUGGUUUUCCAACAGUCUAUAGGAGUUUUCAGGCAUGUUAAGUGAUUGUUGGCUGCUUUUCCUUCAUUCAUCCAUAACUCGUCCAACAUCCAACUCAUCCCAAAUCAUGUUAUCUGGAUUUAGAUCAGGUGAUUGUGGAGGCCAGGUCAUCUGAUGCAGCACUCCAUCACUCUCCUUCUUGGACAAAUAGCUCUUACAUCACUUAGAGGUGUGUUUGGGGUCAUUGUCCUGCAAAUUAUGGUCCCACUAAGUGCAAACCAGAUGGGGUUGUAUGUCUCUGCAGAAUGCUAUGGUAGACAUGUUGGUUAAGUGUGGCCUCAAUUUUGACUAUAUCGCCAAAAAAAGUGUCACCAGCUAAGCAACUUCACACCAUCACACCUUCUACUCCGUACUUCACAGUGAGGACCAAACAUUCAGGAACUGUCCGAUCAACAUCUGGAAUUCUAACAAAGACAGUGGUAAAAACCUGAAAUUAUAAAAUAUGACUUUCUCAGACCAAAGGGCAGUUUUCCAGUGAUCUAAUAUCCAUUUCUUGUGUUUCUUGGCCCAAGCAAGUCUCUUCUUUUUGUUUUUAUUCCAAAAUAAAGUUGUCACAAUUUGACAACGAAGGCCUGACCCAUGCCUUCUCCUCUGAAAAGUGGAUGUUGAAAUAUUUUCGCCACAACUCUGAGACUUAUGUAAAUUGGCAGUUUCUGAUGCUGGAAAUUCUAUUAAACUCAUUCUAUACAGCAGAAGUAUCUCAUGGUCUUGCUUUCCUGGAACAUUCCUGUUUUAUCAUAGUACUUGUAGGUUUUAGAGACUGCACUAAAAGAUACAUAAAAAAUUCCUACUAUUUUUUUCAUUGACUGACCUUCAUUUUUUAAAGUAAUGAUAGACUGUCUGUUCUCUUUACUUAAUUGAUUGUUUCUUGCCAUCACAUGGAUUUGUGCAGUAGUUGUAGCUGCACUAAUAGGACGAUUGACUGUAUACUCACCUUUUCCUCUGCGCAACUGAUGAUCUAAAUCUCGUCUUAAGCUGAUAAGAAAUGUUACAAAUUAACACCUAUAAAAGCAAAACUUUAAAAUGAAAACCAUUCCAGGUGACUACCUUGCAAAUGUUAUGAGAGAAAUCCAUGAGUUUGCCAAGCUGACAUCAAGGCUAAAUCUAUUGACUUCAAAAAAUCUAAAACAUAUUUUGAAUUAACACUUUUUUGUUUAUUACAUAAUUCCAUGUGCGUUCUUUCGUAGUUGAUGUCUUCAGUAACAUACAAAGUUGAAAAUAAUAAA